rnacentral:rRNA from 1 species
UUAGAUGCUCCAACCCAUGUGAACGUUACCAAACUGUUGCCUCGGCGGGAUCUCUGCCCCGGGUGCGUCGCAGCCCCGGACCAAGGCGCCCGCCGGAGGACCAACCAAAACUCUUUUUGUAUACCCCCUCGCGGGUUUUUUUUAUAAUCUGAGCCUUCUCGGCGCCUCUCGUAGGCGUUUCGAAAAUGAAUCAAAACUUUCAACAACGGAUCUCUUGGUUCUGGCAUCGAUGAAGAACGCAGCGAAAUGCGAUAAGUAAUGUGAAUUGCAGAAUUCAGUGAAUCAUCGAAUCUUUGAACGCACAUUGCGCCCGCCAGUAUUCUGGCGGGCAUGCCUGUCCGAGCGUCAUUUCAACCCUCGAACCCCUCCGGGGGGUCGGCGUUGGGGAUCGGCCCUGCCUUUUGGCGGUGGCCGUCUCCGAAAUACAGUGGCGGUCUCGCCGCAGCCUCUCCUGCGCAGUAGUUUGCACACUCGCAUCGGGAGCGCGGCGCGUCCACAGCCGUUA